AAGAUCAUCUGCUGCAUGUCUUAAGCACUUUUUGCCAAGACGCUUAUUUGGGUUUUAUUAGCAGACGACAUCAAUCGGACCAGACACGUGCGUAGGUGGACUGCUGUCUGCAGAGACCAACACUUAGCCCAGCGGUUCUCAAUCUUUUACUAGUGACGCCCCAGUGACAAACAAAGGAAACCAAACCAGCACUUGAUGCCAUCUGGUAGAAGAUGCUUUCAUGGUUCCUCAGCAAACUUUCUGGAGUGUCCAAUUCUGCUAUCUGACCCUUGUCAAGUACAAGAAUUCUGAAAAUAAAGACAUAUUCAUGCAAUGGCUUACUCUCAGCAGUAGCUUCAUCUAAGAUGAGAAUUUUGGUUUUCCGAAGGAGCGAGCGUGCCAGGCAGAGCAACUGUCGCUGACCCACACUAAGUGAAAUAAAUAUACAAAAAAGCACUGGUCAGGCAAGGAGCUGACAAAGGCGUUCAGGUGAGCGUGUUCUAGAGCUGUCCACACCUGGGCAUCACUGUAUUCAUCAAAUGGAUCCAGGUUCAUUCUCAGGCUCCCAGCAAAGAUGACUGGAUCCUUGGCACAAGAAGCAGAGGAUAUCAUCUUCAAGUGGAAGCCAUUUCCCACCAAAUCAACCAAUUAACCAGCUCAACAAUCUUUUCAUCAAUUGCCCCAUGCAGAUGAAGGCUGCGAGAGCAUUCAUGUUGAGUCAUCUGCAGGCUCAAGCAAACGAAACAGUGACAAAGUGAGCGAUGAUUUGCCUGCACCAGUUCGUCCAACAAUACCAACCUUUCAUAUUGGAAAGAAGCAUAAUAAAUGAAUGAGCUAAGAGUAUAUAUUUAAGUUUAGCUAAUAAAAUUCUGUAAAAUAUCAAAAUAAUCAUAAAUGCCAGUGCAGUUA